AAAGAAACGCAGCGGUUAGUUACUUUGUGAGGCAGCGAACAGAUGGAGCACUUUGCUUGUUUGCCACGCAGCAAACAAAUGCAGUAUCUAGUUUGCGAGGCAGCAGACGCAGCAGUUUUCCUGUUUGCGAGGCAGUGAAGAGACGCAGCGUUUUUCUCCUUUUCGAGGCAGCGAAGAGACGCAGUGCUUAGUUUACAAGGCAGCGAACACUCACAGUGCUUAAUUAGUUUGCGUGGGAGUGAAGAAACUCCGCAGUUUGCUUGUUCGGAAGGCAGCGAACAGAUGCAGCGGCGUGCUGCUUUGUGAGGCAGCGAACACUCGCAGCGCUUAGUUUGUGAGGCAGCGAAGAGACUCCGUGGUUUGCUUGUUUGCGAGGCAGCAAAAAGACGCAGUGGUGUGCUUGUUUCCAAGGCAGUGAAGAGAUGCAACGGUUUGCUUUUUUGCGAGGCAGGAAACAGUAGAGUGGUUAGUUAGUUUGCGAGGCAGCGAAGAGAGACACAGUGGUUUGCUGUUUUGUGAGGCAGCGAGCACAUGCAGUGGUUAGUUUAGUUUGUGAGGCAGCAAAGAGACACAGUGGUUACUUAUUUUGCGAGGCAGUGAAGAGACGCAGCGGUUUGCUUCAUGGCGAGGCAGCAAAGGGACAAGGCGGUUGGUUAGUCUGCGAGGCAUCCAAGAGAUGCAGCGGUGUGCUUGUUGGCGAGGCGUCGAAGAAAAGCAGCGCGUAGUUAUUUGGCCGUGUGGCGAAGAGACGCGACGGUGUGCUUGUUCGCGAUGCAGUGAAGAGGCGCAGCGGUGUGCUUGUUCGCCAGGCAGCGAACAGAUGCAGCAGUCUGCUUGUUUGUGAGACAGAGAACAUCCACAGUGGUUACUCAUUCUGGGAGGCAGCAAAGGGACACUGCAGUUUGCUUGUUCACAAGGUAGCAAACAGAUGCAGCGGCUUGUAUGUUCGCGAGGCGGUGAACAGAUAUAGCGGUUUGCUUGUUUGCGAGGCAGCAAACACAUUCAUCUGUCUGCUUGUUUGUGAGACAGUGAACAUCCACAGUGGUUACUCAUUCCGCGAGGCAGCGAAGAGACAUGGCACUUUGCUUGUCCACCAGGUGGCAUAGUGGCAUUGCGGAUUGCUUUUUCGCCUGGAAGCGAACCAAGGCAGCACUUUGCUAGUUGGCGAGGCAGCGAAGAGAUGCAGCGGUUAGUUAGUUCGCCAGGCAGUGAAGAGACGCAGCACUUUGGUUGUGCACCAGGUGGAGUAGUGGCAUCACGGAUUGCUUUUUCAGGUGGAAGCAAAGCGAGGCAGCACUUUGCUAGUUUGUGAGGCAGCAAACAGAUGCAGCGGUCUGCUUGUUUGUGAGACUGCGAACCUCCACAGAGGUUAGUUCUUCUGCGAGGCAGCGAAGAGACGCACCAGUUAGUUUGUGAAGCAGUGAACAAACACAGGCAGCAGUUAGUUAGUUUGCAAGGCAG
rnacentral:lncRNA from 1 species